rnacentral:lncRNA from 1 species
GGGUCCCGGAGGGACCUGUACGGCCGAUGCCCCCGUACUGUGUCGGACUUGGCUCUGCAGAAUGCCUUCGGGGACCGAUGGGGACCCUACUUCACGGAGUACGAUUGGUGUUCCACUUGCUCCUCCUCUUCGGAGUCUGACAACGAGGGCUAUUUCCUAGGCGAGCCCAUCCCCCAGCCCGCCCACCUGCGAUAUGUCACGAGUGACGAGUUACUACACAAAUACAGCUCAUACGGCCUUCCCAAGUCUUCCACGCUAGGAGGCAGGGGACAGUUGCACAGCAGGAAAAGACAAAAGAGCAAAAACUGUAUCAUUUCUUAAUCCAAUGAGGGUCAGGGACCAGGGGAAGAUGGGAGCUAAGAAUGUACAUUCAGAAACUUGCACUGUUUUAAAUUUUAAAGCGCUUUGGGGGUGGGGGGUGGCUCCAGGGAGAGAAGAAAAGAGCACUCUGUUGAUGGAGAUAGGGUGACUGAUUGACUCGAAACCAGAUGCUCCUGUGUGAGGAGGAGGCUCUAUCUAUAACAAAAGGAAGUGGACGAUGGAUUCAGUUUUCUGAGGAUUUCAUGCCAAAAGGGUUGCCCUCAGCAACUGCUCAGCACCUUCGGGGCUUUGAAAUGGGCUCUGUGGACAGCGUUCCCUGUGCAGGACUCCGCCAAGCCUCCUCUGCCGAUUCUCAAGGCAGUUCCAGAUGGCCGCCUUUUGAGGAUCACUUUGUCCAACCCCCACGUGAAUUCCAAGUGCAUAAACAAAACCUCAAAGGGCCUGAGAAGGGUUUUGGAAGUCUUUGCCUUGG